CCUACGGGUGGCUGCAGUCGAGAAUCAUUCACAAUGGGGGAAACCCUGAUGGUGCGACGCCGCGUGGGGGAAUGAAGGUCUUCGGAUUGUAAACCCCUGUCAUGUGGGAGCAAAUUAAAAAGAUAGUACCACAAGAGGAAGAGCCGGCUAACUCUGUGCCAGCAGCCGCGGUAAUACAGAGGUCUCAAGCGUUGUUCGGAAUCACUGGGCGUAAAGCGUGCGUAGGCUGUUUCGUAAGUCGUGUGUGAAAGGCGCGGGCUCAACCCGCGGACUGCAAAUGAUACUGCGAGACUAGAGUGAUGGAGGGGGAACCGGAAGUCUCGGUGUAGCAGUGAAAUGCGUAGAUAUCGAGAGGAACACUCGUGGCGAAGGCGGGUUCCUGGACAUUAACUGACGCUGAGGCACGAAGGCCAGGGGAGCGAAAGGGAUUAGAUACCCCGGUAGUC
rnacentral:rRNA from 1 species